UAACCGGUGAGAGAUCCCGCUUCCAACGCCACCGGGCGUGGGGUUGUCGCCUACAGCAUUUUCUUUUCCGUGCAUAGAAUCCCAUCUUUCACCGUCGCGCUCUUUUGGCUUGGAAACCCCAAUGGGGGGAUCUGGAUCUUUCCAUUGGAAGGAGGCUUAGGUCUACAGUGAGACGAUGACACACUGGCGUCCUUGGGAGUCGGGAGCGAUGGUUUGAUGCCAAAGCUUAAGAUAUGAGGCUACAACCAGGCACGCAGCUGAUCAUGAAGCCUGGGCGCUGCCUCACGGCCCCUUCAACCCCGCCACUCACAUUACUCUCUUCUUCUUCCAUAUCGUCGUCAUCUCCGAGUUGAGGUAAGUAUUUCUCAGAUAUCGAUUAAUGUUUUAGGUGAAGGAGCUUUUUGGUUGUGCCAGGAUAAGAGUUGAUCGUGUUCUUCAAUGCCGGCAUAGUUUCGUAGACGGAUUCAUAGUGCCUCCUGCACACGAUCACCUAAAACAGAAGUGGUUAGCAGUCCAAUUCGGGGAUUUGUACCAGGUGUGAUCUUCUGGGACUAAGUAAUUAAGCCUUUCUCAACCAUUGCACGCCCAAGCUGACCCAGGGUCAUCCCAACCAGACUUAGAUCAGCAAGGCCAAGCUAGGGUCUACCAGACCUAACCCUAGUCAACUUGAAAGGAUCCUAGGCCUAUAUAAAGGAGUGGUCAGGUGGAAGAUAUUGACCAAAAAUGAGGUGACCUACUUAACAACUAUUGGCACAUGCACAAGUCAUCAAAUUACCACAUAAGGGCUCAUCUUUAAACCAAGCAAGUAGUAGUGCAAUAGAAUAAAUCUAUACUGAGAAACAAGGACGCUAUGGUUUUUAUGUGGCUCAACCUCAAAUCUGCCUUCUUUUAUGCUUAUGGAAGGGGGAAUUUCUCACUAGUUGCUGAGGAGCUAAGCAUGGCUAAAAGAGUUAAUGUUUUCUUGCAAUGAUAACAGGAAUCACGCCUUUUAUGGAGAACAUAUAAUUGAAUUGUCAGGUUCUAGAGCAUACAAUAAAUCUUUUCAGAUGCAUGUUUAGGAUUCAUAACCAGCUCUGACUGCUUUCACUGUCAUUCCUCGAAGCGCUUUUUCAUCAACUCAUUUUGUUCUCACAUACGACACCAAAAAAGUGGAUGAAGAAAAUGUUCUAUUUGGUUGAAGUGAAUGUGCAAGAAGUCUUCCACUUGGGAUCUCAUAAGUAAGAAAAUCGAGGUUAGUGAGAUACUCAGAGCAUGCAUAAACAAUAAAUAAAUUGAUGACUGUAUAAAUGAAUUGAGUCUUGAUUUUUCUAAAUCCUUCAUGUUUGAUAUCUCAACGUAUCAUAAAUGUCGCCUACUUACCUCUUUUAGAGAAUCCAACUCAAUAGAGUUCAUUUUUUUCUAUUAUUAUUAUUGAUCUAAUGUUCUAAGCAUUA